rnacentral:rRNA from 1 species
CGGAUUUGGGCGUAGAGCUCGUAGGCGGUUUGUCGCGUCUGCUGUGAAAGACCGGGGCUCAACUCCGGUUCUGCAGUGGGUACGGGCAGACUAGAGUGCAGUAGGGGAGACUGGAAUUCCUGGUGUAGCGGUGAAAUGCGCAGAUAUCAGGAGGAACACCGAUGGCGAAGGCAGGUCUCUGGGCUGUAACUGACGCUGAGGAGCGAAAGCAUGGGGAGCGAACAGGAUUAGAUACCCUGGUAGUCCAUGCCGUAAACGUUGGGCACUAGGUGUGGGGGACAUUCCACGUUUUCCGCGCCGUAGCUAACGCAUUAAGUGCCCCGCCUGGGGAGUACGGCCGCAAGGCUAAAACUCAAAGGAAUUGACGGGGGCCCGCACAAGCGGCGGAGCAUGCGGAUUAAUUCGAUGCAACGCGAAGAACCUUACCAAGGCUUGACAUGAACCGGAAAGACCUGGAAACAGGUGCCCCGCUUGCGGUCGGUUUACAGGUGGUGCAUGGUUGUCGUCAGCUCGUGUCGUGAGAUGUUGGGUUAAGUCCCGCAACGAGCGCAACCCUCGUUCUAUGUUGCCAGCGGUUCGGCCGGGGACUCAUAGGAGACUGCCGGGGUCAACUCGGAGGAAGGUGGGGACGACGUCAAAUCAUCAUGCCCCUUAUGUCUUGGGCUUCACGCAUGCUACAAUGGCCGGUACAAAGGGUUGCGAUACUGUGAGGUGGAGCUAAUCCCAAAAAGCCGGUCUCAGUUCGGAUUGGGGUCUGCAACUCGACCCCAUGAAGUCGGAGUCGCUAGUAAUCGCAGAUCAGCAACGCUGCGGUGAAUACGUUCCCGGGCCUUGUACACACCGCCCGUCAAGUCACGAAAGUUGGUAACACCCGAAGCCGUGGCCUAACCCUUGUGGGGGGAGCCGUCGAUGGGACCGGCGAUUGGACUAAGUCGUAACAAGGGUAACCGUA